CAAGUUAAAGCUUUAAAAAGCAUUUUAUUUACAUUAAAAAGAUUAUUAUAAUUAUAAUAUAGCUUGA
rnacentral:tRNA from 1 species